rnacentral:tRNA from 1 species
GAGUGCGUAGCUCAAAGGUAGAGCAAUAAGCUUUUAACUUAGCGGUUGCAGGUUCGAGUCCUGCCGUACUCA